rnacentral:lncRNA from 7 species
AGCGCUCCCGCUCAGGCGUGUCUCGAUCGGUCCAUCGGUUUCUCGGCCGUACUUGUUGCGCUUGUACGUGGUCGAGCGACGGACACGUAUCCACUAUCCGGUUUUGGACCAUCGGUUUUGUUUUUGGUCGGUCGGGCAAAGGCUGUGGGGCGCCUUGAUGAGGGAGGAGAGGACGACGACGACGACGUCAUCGGCCGGCGACGCGCGGCGCGACUCUGCGGCAAGGUUCAGUGAGCCAUCGGUGGUGUGGGUGAUCGGUCUACGAUAGAUCAAUCCGAGAUACGAUGUGCGUGUUUUUAGCCUUCACAGUCAAUUCCAUGGUAGAUCCAUGUUGCAUGCAUUGCAGGGUCUGUUGUCGCGUCCUUUGUCGCUCUGCUUAUCGUCACUAUCGAUUUCUGGUCGAGUGAUGACACGAUAGCAUCGUCAGUUUGCUUUGCUCGCCGUUUGUCCCAUGGUCACAGCGAGUUGUUCGAUCCAGCGGUACGUACAAGUUUGAGGGGGAAAAAAAAUAAAACAAACACAAGAUUGUACCAAUAGUGCUUUUGUUUACAGUACAGGGAAAAGGCGCUUCAAAAGUGUAACACGUCCGAUUCAC